AUAGACUGGGAACCUCCAUAUGCCGCAGGUGCGGUCCUGAAAAGACAAAAAAAUCUUCUUUAGGAAGUUCCCUUAUGGUGCAGUGGGUUAAGGAUCCAGCUGGUGCAGGUCGAAACUGUGGCAGGAUUUGAUCACUAACCUAGGAACCCUCCCACCAAAAAAACAAAACAAAACAAAACAAAAACCAACAAAACAAACAAAAACUAAAACCAAACAAACAAACAAAAAAAAAACCCACAAAUUUUUUACUGAAUGAAAAAUUCUUUAAAUUCUAUCAUGCCUAACAAUUUUCAAACAUGAUUUCAUAUAAUCCCAUAAUAGCUCUUUUUUUCCCCUCUACCCCUAUUUUGCCUCUAUGCCGUCUCCUCUCCACAUGGUAACCAUUAGUUUGUUCUCUAUAUCUAUGAGUCUGAUUCUUUUUUGUUAUAUUCACUAAUUUGUUGUAGUUUUUAGAUUCUACAUACAAGUGAUAUCAUACAGUAUUUGACCUUAUGCUUAUUUCACUUAGCAUAAUGUGCUUCAAGUCCAUUCACGCUGAUGCAAAUGGCAAAAUUUCACUCUUUUUUAUGGUUGACUAGUAUUCUAUUUUAUAUAUACCACAUCUUCUUUAUCCAUUCAUCUGUUGAUGGACAUCUAGGUUGCUUCCAUACUUUGGCAAUUGUAAAUAAUGCUGUUAUGAACAUUGGGGUGCAUGUAUCUUUUCAAAGUGGUAUUUUUGUUUCUUUUGGAUAUAUACCCAGGAGUAGAAGUCCUGAGUCGUAUGGUAAUUCUUUUAAUGGGAAUGCACAAAUUUUAUAAUUUAAUUUUUUGGGAAGGUGCAUAUUUACAAAUUCAGUCUCAUCCAAAAAUAUAUUAGCCCCUUUAGAAUUAUAGUUUUUAAAAUAACACCUUGCAUAUUUCUUGUCACUUUGAUUUCUAAGUACUUCAUAAUUAUUUUUGUUUUAUGAAUGGAAUAUAUUUUCCUUUGCAUUUUAUAAUUGGUUAUUGCAAUUGCUAUGAAUAAGAAAACAAUCCAAAUUUCCUGUGUUGGUCUUUUAUUGAAUCAAUUUAGUGAACUGUCUUACUAGUUUUAACAUUUAUUUCAUCAUAUUCUGAGAUUCUCUAGUUAGAUAAUGAUACCAUCUAUAAACUAUGGAAACUUUGUUUAUUCUUUACCAAUGUUUGCACUUCAUUUGUUUUUCUUGUUGCAUUGACAGGUGUUGAAUAGUGGGAACUUAUAGCCAGAUUCCUUAUCUUGUUCCUCAUUUUAAUGGGAUUGCUUCUAAGGUUUCACCAUGAGGUAUGGGACUUGCUGCCAAUAUAGACAAAAAAGAUAACAGAGUUAGAAUUUUAUUUUGUUCUUUGUCUAGAUAAUUGUAUGGAGGAAGAAAUGAAGGAAACACAAUAAUUCAUUUUUUUCUCACAUAAAAAUCACAGGGUCUUUUUUUUUCUUUAAAAAAAAAAAAAAAAAGCCUAAGCUUAACCUAAGAGCUCUUCAAGAAUUGCCUUAUGAUGAGCAAAGAAUAAAGGGAUUUCAUGACAUCAAGUGGGGGAAAUAAGACCCAAGACACUCAAAAAGGAAGAUAAAAGUGGCACUUGUGUCAUAAUUUAGAAAAUUCAAGGUCCAUUUUUAAAAUAAGCAUUGAUAACACACGUGGUAUUUAUCCAGGAAAGUAUUUGGGAAGGCACCACAGCAUCUUUUCCAGGGGAGUAAAACACUGAAGACAUUUCAAAAGAUCAUGAAGUUGUUCCAGAGAAGUAAAGCAUUAAUUCUUUGCUGAGAGGUUAACAUUUGGUAUAUGUGACAUGAAGUUUUAUUGAUAAUGGAUCUGCUUUUUUCUUUACAUUAGGUUUCUGGUUAAGUUUACUUUUAUUCAUAGUUUAUAAAGAAUUUUUUAAAGAAAAAGUUUUGAAUUUAUCAAGUUCUUUAGCAUAUAGUAAGUAUGUUUCUUUACCAUUCACUUUUUCAUGUAAUGAAUUACGUAAUAGAUUUCUAAUGUUGAACCAUGCCUUAUAUAAAUGGAAUAAAUCCUGGUCAUGAGUCUUCUGCUCUAUCCAAUUUUACUUAUGUUUAUUAAAGGAUUUUUUUAAGUUUUUGUUCAUAAGGGUGAUGGGUAAAUAUUUGGGAGAGAUUUCCAUCAUCUGUUUCUCACAGUUCAAUCAGCUUUUUGCAUAAAUCUGGGUUUGUUACCUUUUACAGGAGACCUUUAACUACUUUUUCAUUUAUCUAUGAUUGCUAUGAUUUCUACCUCUUCUUGAGUCAAUUUUUGUAAUUUCCAAAAAAUGAUUCACUUCAUCAAAGUUAUAAAACUUUACUUUCAUAUUUUAAAAAAAUCCUAUAUGACCAUAUUUACUCCCUCUUCUGAUUGCUAAAGCUGUACUCCACCAUUGAUCUGUUUAUUUUCUUCAGUGAUUUCAUACCUUGGAAAUUUUGUUUUGGUAACGGUGAAUGAGGUUUAUGGGUGAUUUGAAUGUGUAUGAUUGCUGUUUUUUGUUUUCCUAGCAUUAACUGGUUAAUUCCUUCAUUCUAUUUACUUUAGCUGCCUCCCCAAACCACUGACCACCAAAAAUGCAGAACAGAAUAGGAAAAAUGUUCUCACAUCCAGACACCUGGAUUCUCAUCCUGGUUCCAGAAUUUACAAGAUACAGAGAGUCUUCCAACAAACCAUGUCCACUGGUAGAAUGUUACACCAAUGUUCUGGCACUGAGAAGAAACUAUAAACAUGAAUGAUCUGAAUCAAAAAAUGAUCACAGUACCAAAACAGACAACUAAAGGCUCUCUGGGAUGGCAAAUUCUCUCAGACAUCAUGACCUGCUUUGCAGGUAGGAUGAGGC